AGUGAACGCUGGCGGUAGGCCUAACACAUGCAAGUCGAACGGCAGCACAGGAGAGCUUGCUCUCUGGGUGGCGAGUGGCGGACGGGUGAGGAAUACAUCGGAAUCUACUCUUUCGUGGGGGAUAACGUAGGGAAACUUACGCUAAUACCGCAUACGACCUUCGGGUGAAAGCAGGGGACCUUCGGGCCUUGCGCGAUUGAAUGAGCCGAUGUCGGAUUAGCUAGUUGGCGGGGUAAAGGCCCACCAAGGCGACGAUCCGUAGCUGGUCUGAGAGGAUGAUCAGCCACACUGGAACUGAGACACGGUCCAGACUCCUACGGGAGGCAGCAGUGGGGAAUAUUGGACAAUGGGCGCAAGCCUGAUUCAGCCAUACCGCGUGGGUGAAGAAGGCCUUCGGGUUGUAAAGCCCUUUUGUUGGGAAAGAAAAGCACUUGGUUAAUACCCUUGUGUUCUGACGGUACCCAAAGAAUAAGCACCGGCUAACUUCGUGCCAGCAGCCGCGGUAA
rnacentral:rRNA from 1 species